rnacentral:rRNA from 1 species
UUGCCUACGGGGCGCAGCAGUGAGGAAUAUUGGUCAAUGGACGAGAGUCUGAACCAGCCAAGUAGCGUGAAGGAUGACUGCCCUAUGGGUUGUAAACUUCUUUUAUAUGGGAAUAAAAUGUUCCACGUGUGGGAUUUUGUAUGUACCAUAUGAAUAAGGAUCGGCUAACUCCGUGCCAGCAGCCGCGGUAAUACGGAGGAUCCGAGCGUUAUCCGGAUUUAUUGGGUUUAAAGGGAGCGUAGGCCGGCUUUUAAGUCAGCUGUGAAAGUCCGCGGCUCAACCGUGGAAUUGCAGUUGAAACUGGG